AGUGAACGCUGGCGGUAGGCCUAACACAUGCAAGUCGAACGGCAGCACAGUAAGAGCUUGCUCUUACGGGUGGCGAGUGGCGGACGGGUGAGGAAUACAUCGGAAUCUACUUUUUCGUGGGGGAUAACGUAGGGAAACUUACGCUAAUACCGCAUACGACCUACGGGUGAAAGCAGGGGAUCUUCGGACCUUGCGCGAUUGAAUGAGCCGAUGUCGGAUUAGCUAGUUGGCGGGGUAAAGGCCCACCAAGGCGACGAUCCGUAGCUGGUCUGAGAGGGUGAUCAGCCACCCUGGAACUGAGACACGGUCCAGACUCCUACGGGAGGCAGCAGUGGGGAAUAUUGGACAAAGGGCGCAAGCCUGAUCCAGCCAUACCGCGUGGGUGAAGAAGGCCUUCGGGUUGUAAAGCCCUUUUGUUGGGAAAGAAAAGCAGCAGGUUAAUACCCCGCUGUUCUGACGGUACCCAAAGAAUAAGCACCGGCUAACUUCGUG
rnacentral:rRNA from 1 species